CCUACGGGGGGCAGCAGUGGGGAAUAUUGCACAAUGGGGGAAACCCUGAUGCAGCAACGCCGCGUGAGCGAUGAAGGCCUUCGGGUCGUAAAGCUCUGUCCUAAGGGAAGAAUACUGACGGUACCUUAGGAGGAAGCCCCGGCUAACUACGUGCCAGCAGCCGCGGUAAUACGUAGGGGGCUAGCGUUAUCCGGAAUUACUGGGCGUAAAGGGUGCGUAGGAGGCCCUUCAAAUCAGAGGUGAAAGGCUACGGCUCAACCGUAGUAAGCCUUUGAAAUUGUAGGACUUGAGUGCAGAGGAGUUGAGUCGCAUUCCCAGUGUGGCGGUUAAAUGCGUGGAUAUCGGGAGGUACACCAGUUGCGAAGGCGGCUCUCUUGACUGUAGCUGACGCGAUGGCACGAGAGCGUUGGUAGCGAACAAGAUUAGAUACCCCUGCAGUC
rnacentral:rRNA from 1 species